CUGAAAGUGUUUCUCUCUGAACUUCGACUCCAUUUUGUGGUGCGUUACGAAUGCCAAAAAUCUCUGAGGAAGAAACUUAUAUUAAUGUCACACAAGGACAUUGUAUAAAGAUGGAGACUCCUGAUCCGAACACAGACAAUGUUUUCCCAGCCUCAAACAACUGUAAAUUCCAGGGAAAGAGAUCAAUGUCACCAACAGCCAGCUGUACUUCUAUGAAAAGUGAUCAGUCAAUGGAUCAUCCUAGGCAUUUUAAAGAUGGAGACUCCUCACUUCUAUACAGGUAACAUCUCCUCACUGUUAAUGUCACUACUAAAGUCACACAUAGAGGGAAAUUUAACUAGAUAAACAGGAGGGCAAAAUAGAUAAACACUGACUGUGAUUGUACUGAAGCCACUAUUAAGGAUCCAAAUACUUGUCAUUUUUAAAGAUACCACAAAAAAACACUAUCCAGGUAAAAUAUUUCCAAAAAAAAAAAACAUUAAAAAACUUUAAAGUAUAUUCCACUUGCUUUGACAUUUUUUUUGUAAUAUGAAAUUCAUAUUUAUGCUUGUGUGGCUUAAGUGUGCAAACUGUGGGGCCACUGUGUGUUUGGUCAUUGCAGGCCAGACCACCGCUUACCAUUAUUUAGCUAGUGACAGGAUACCAAGCCAUAAGAAUGAUCUAGAUUUGCACCAUUUUAAAGUGUUAGUCUACAUUUACAGCCUUUACAGCAUUUGGCAUACACUCUUAUCCAGAGCGACUUACAUGAGUGCUUAAAUCUCUAACAUUGGAUACAUUAAUGCUGGCUCACUAGGUUACAUACCAUGAGUUUAAAACGUUGUUCAAAGUUACAAUGAAAAAGUGUCAAAGGUUGUGUGUUUUUUUAUAAAUGCAAAGAUAGUUGCAGUAAUCCAGUCUUGAGAUGACAAGAGAUUGAACAGUACCUGAGCAGCCUGUGUGGAAAAAAAUGGCCGAAUCCUUCUAAUGUAGAGAAGAACUCAACAUGAGCGAGUCACAUUAGCAACAUUAUUUUUAGGAGGGGCGCAUGCGCACGCAGCGACCGGCAGCAUGGUAGCAUGAUGGUGUCUGUUUGUUUGUUUGUUUGUAAAAUUUGCUAAAGUUAUCUGAGUUCCCCUUUUUAUACUUGAUCGUAGUUUUUAUUGCAUAUUUGCAUUUUAUGUGCAUGAUCAGCUCUGCAGUGAUCGCUUUUUUCCUGACCGGUUACAAUGAAAUGGUCUGUUGGAUGUACACUGAUGGUGGUGUUCUGGGAAAUUUCCCAUCUGGCGGAGGCUUGGUGCGGCACUUUUCAGUCUCGGAUUUUAUAUAGCCGGGACUAUUUGCUGAAGUUCGAUCAACCAGCGAACUCUAGGCCACCUCCUGAUUUAAAUUUCUCGGACAUCACCAAUAUUAAAUGGCAGUAUGGAAAGAGCGGGAGCUCUACAAACGCACCUUGUCGGAUAUGAAGGAAGCAGGGUAGGAGAGGUGGAUUACGCGAGCGAGCAAGGUGGCCUCUGUUGCGCGCCCUCUAUCAU